AUCUCUUUCCGGUUCAUAAACAUGAUGAUUGGGUGUUCACAGGCUUGUGUGAUAUGUGCGUCCCUUAAAUCUUGCUACAUGUUUGGCAUAUUACUCAUUUGACA
ensembl:snoRNA